CGAAUAUAUAGUGUACGCUCGAUCAAAUUUAGUCUUUCACCCGUAACGUCACACACCAGACUAAACUCAAAUUUGAUCGUUUGUUUUGGUCUUUGAUCUUUGGUUAUGAUCGUACCACCGUGGACGCUCUAAAGAGGGAGAGUCUGAAGACGAUUCCGAUUCUACUGGCUCUGCUGAUAAAUCUCCCAAACCUAAGAACACUUUCCCUUCUAUUAAGGCGAAACAUAAGGGUAAGAAUACGCCUCUAAACCCUGGACGAGAGAAUGUUUCUAAAAAGAGAAAAAGGGGAUCAACGGUCAAAGGGGGCUCAUACUUCUCCUCUAACCACUCAUACUACCAACCCGAAUACUUCGUCUUUUGAUGAUUCUUUGUUGCCGCAUGAGGGAUCUCAUCCUGGUGAUGCCGUUACUGAGAUCUUCAAUAGACUGCCUCCAUCAAGAGUUGUCCCGUCUUCUCUUCAUGGUGAAGCUCAUGCCUCAGAUAAUUGCUAUGCGAACAUGAGGCUCCUUUCUGAGAUCUUUUAGUUCUUCUUCCUUAACUGCCAAUAAUCCUGCGCUUGCACAAAUGUGCAGCGUGAUAGCGAAGCUUCGUGCAAUGCCUUCCCCAGAUCACUCUGAAAUUUCGCUCCGAUGUUGAGCUCUUGCCACUGAGAGGAACCAUCUUCAACAAAUUGAGGAUCUUUCUAAAAAGUUAAAAUCUGUGAUUUUGAGUCUUUCUGCUAGGGAUUCUAAGUAUCUCAGGCUCAAGGAGAAGUUGGUGGUCUCUGUUUCCAAUACUAUGAAGAGUGCACUGCGUGAACAAAACGAACAAGUUCGAUCAAAUGCUGACACUAUUUGCACAAGAUAUGGGCAUCCUUUACUUAAUUUCAAUUUUCCUGAAGUUCUCGCCAAUGAGGAAGAGAUAGAUAUCUCCAGUAGCGAGAAGGGAUAUGAAGAAGAAGAGAUAGAAGACGAUCACGAUGUAGAAGAUGGAUUGCAAGGCCGCUCUGCUGAUGAAGGGUUGGGAGAUGGUGAAGAAAUUCCUGAGAAGAGACUCGAUGAAAAACGUGGCUGAUGCUGAGGGCGAAACUAUCCGCGGAAACUGAUGGUCCUUCUCGCUAUUCACUUUUUUUGUUCUCGCUUGGCUUGUAGGACUUUAUCUCGAUUUUCUGUUUUUGCUUUUCUUCUUGUCCUGUAUAUGACAACUUUAGUCUUGGAUACUUAUCUGGG